UACGGGGGGGGCAAGCGUUGUUCGGAAUUACUGGGCGUAAAGCGCGCGUAGGCGGCUUUUCAAGUCAGGCGUGAAAGCCCCAGGCUUAACCUGGGAGCUGCGUUUGAUACUGUCAAGCUAGAGUGUGGAAGGGGCUACUGGAAUUCCGUGUGUAGCGGUGAAAUGCGUAGAUAUCAGGAGGAACACCAAUUGCGAAGGCAGCUCGCUGGGACGUUACUGACGCUGAGACGCGAAAGCGUGGGGAGCAAACAGG
rnacentral:rRNA from 1 species